UAAAAUAAAAUUAUAAAAUAAUAAACACAAGUUGUGUCUAUGCAUUGACACGUCAUCCUUAUCUCUUUAUCUCCCUCUUUUACAGGACAAAAUCUUCAAUCUUCAACCUUCAACCCUCUUUAAUUUCUUCCCUGUUCUUUUCUUCCUCUGUUUCUUUUUUCUCCCCUUGUUAUCAUUCCACAAUUUUUUUUUUCGGUUCUUUGCAUCCUUCAUUUAUUUAUUUAUUUAUUUUGUCGAUAAAUCAUUUUUCCUCCCUUUAAAUCCUUUUCUUCCGAAGAAGAAAAGAAAAAAAGCAAAAAAGAAUAAGUAACACUGUCACAAGGAUCUGAUUUUUCUUUUUUAUCUUUUUAAAAAAUGGCUUUUAUAAUUUAAAAUACUCAAGUUAUGGAUAAAGGCAAAAAUGCUAAUAUGAAUUUGUUGUGAUAUCGUGCAGUGGCUGCGGACCCGCGGCAUAGAGAUGUUGGAGUAGGGGUGCCGCGCGGGAGAACUUGACGGCAUUGACAGCAUCGAGUACUUAAAGUGGCUGUUGCCGUGCUAGUGUCGGUGAUAAAUGUUAUGGCUGAGCCGGUGUCGGCGAUAGAUUGGGUUUUGAGAAGAGAAUGGAAGCAAAGAGAAGAUGCGUUCUGUGGCUUAAUCGUGUUUUGAAGAAGAAAAAAUAUUACUCUUUUUUUUUUCCUCUCUUUAUAAGCAAUCACGCGUAAACCCGAUACCCCCCACGGGUUUAGUUAAUGCGGCUUUAACUGUAUAACAACAGUAAUGUUAUGCGGUAUAAUACGAAAUCAGUUUUUAGCCAAACAUAGGGAUGUAUUAAUUUAAUGCUAUGCGGGAUGGUAAUGCUGUGUAAAGCUGGAUGCCAAACGCAUCCUUAAUGGUUCAUGCCAUGCCUGCUCACAGGCUCUCAUGGCCUUCAUUUAAUGUCAGCAUGGCCCAUUGAAUUUGCUAGUUUUAAAUUUCACUUUUGUCUUUUAAACUAAACAAAUUUACUAGAGUUGUCUUCUCUUUUAGAGAUUUCCUCUAGCUUGUUUUAAGCUAUCCUUUAUUCACAUAAAAGUAUUGAUUUUUAAUCUAUUUUAUUCUCUAUUGGCAUAUGUCACUUGCCAAUUAGUCUAAAUCAAUAUCCCAAAUUUACCCUAAAACAAACAUCAAUGCAUGUCUCCAUGAUACAAUGAAUAAAAUUAGGAGUUCUAUUAAGGUUUAGAUAAAUUUUUCAAAGUUAUGUAAAAUUAAGGAUAAUUUUUUUGAGUAAUAUUAAAUUAGGACAAGCCAGCCCACUUAUGAAAUUCAUUUAAGUGGAUUUACACCUUUUCUUACUCAUGAAUUAUUUGAUCGGACUCCUCUUUUGAAUAUGUUCUUGUGCGCAUUUAGUUGGUUUCUCUGUGAAUCAAUUUUUGCUUCCUUUUGUUAAUAAUGUGGUAUAAUGAUAUUUCG
rnacentral:lncRNA from 1 species